UACGGAGGGUGCAAGCGUUAAUCGGAAUUACUGGGCGUAAAGAGUGCGCAGGCGGUUUGUUAAGUCCGCUGUGAAAUCCCCGAGCUCAACUUGGGAAUUGCAGUGGAUACUGGCAAGCUGGAGUAUGGUAGAGGAAGGUGGAAUUCCCGGUGUAGCAGUGAAAUGCGUAGAGAUCGGGAGGAACACCAGUGACGAAGGCGGCCUUCUGGACCAAUACUGACACUGAGAGACGAAAGCUAGGGGAGCGAAUGGG
rnacentral:rRNA from 1 species